rnacentral:rRNA from 1 species
GACAGAGGGUGCAAACGUUGUUCGGAAUUACUGGGCGUAAGCGUGCGCAGGCGGCUUGCAAGACAGAUGUGAAAUCCCCGGGCUCAACCUGGGAACUGCAUUGUGACUGCAAGGCUAGAGUACGGUAGAGGGAUGGAAUUCCGCGUGUAGCAGUGAAAUGCGUAGAUAUGCGGAGGAACACCGAUGGCGAAGGCAGGUCUCUGGCUGACACUGACGCUCAUGCACGAAGCGUGGGAGCAA